rnacentral:lncRNA from 1 species
GAAGAUCUCGUGACUGAAUGAAUGACAUGGAUGUUGAUGAUGUAUGCUACGCUGCAGGGUGCACGCAUUUAUGAUUUGCUCUUGUUAUUUCUUUCAAUUUUUCAUUUUGUUUUUUAUUAUGUAUGAUGUUGAGUGCACUGAUGAUGAUGCUAUGUAUGUUGUACUGUUAACUCAUUGCAAUGCAAUUCAUGUGUAAUUGAUACUCAACUCAAAUCAAUCAUAAAUUGUUUUU